rnacentral:rRNA from 1 species
UACGUAGGGUGCGAGCGUUAAUCGGAAUACUGGGCGUAAAGCGUGCGCAGGCGGUGAUGUAAGACAGUUGUGAAAUCCCCGGGCUCAACCUGGGAACUGCAUCUGUGACUGCAUAGCUAGAGUACGGUAGAGGGGGAUGGAAUUCCGCGUGUAGCAGUGAAAUGCGUAGAUAUGCGGAGGAACACCGAUGGCGAAGGCAAUCCCCUGGACCUGUACUGACGCUCAUGCACGAAAGCGUGGGGAGCAAACAGG